GGGCUGGGGCUCAGUGGCAGAGCGCUUGCCUAGCAUGCAUGAGGCACUGGGUUCGAUCCUCAGCACCACA
rnacentral:tRNA from 1 species